CUGCCUGGCUUAAAAAAUAAGGGAAGAUCCAACGGGUUAAUCUUGGACCUGCGGUGUGGGGGUCUUUUCACACUUGGCGUGUUCUCCUGCCAGUUUCCUGCCUUCAGCUUUCCCUGGAAUGAAGAUACAAAGCAGUCAACUGUGUUUGGACAUGGGUCCCUCUGACAUUUGUAAAGGGGAUCCAGGUGGAAGCCAUACAGCAGAUACUGCCCUAUCAUAAACCCAACUUCCACUGCAGACCUUGUGAAGAUGUGGAUCACAACACUUAUGAAGGCAGAACAAUAUUUCCAGGUCCUCCUUUUCAGAUGUUCUGAGCUCCACCUUGCAGCUGAAGGUAAGGUAAUGUCCAGUUACUGUUUUGCAGUGAAAAUAGUUUAUACAAAGGAACUUGAGAGGGAAUAAACCA